rnacentral:miRNA from 1 species
UGAUGAUGAUAAUGGUGAUGAUGUUGAUGGUGAUGAUGAUGACAAUGGUGGUGAUAAUAACACCAUCAUCACAUCACCACUACCAUCACAAUCA